rnacentral:rRNA from 1 species
CGUUAGCGGCGGACGGGUGAGUAACACGUGGGUAACCUACCUAUAAUACUGGGAUAACUUCGGGAAACCGGAGCUAAUACCGGAUAAUAUUUCGAACCGCAUGGUUCGAUAGUGAAAGAUGGUUUUGCUAUCACUUAUAGAUGGACCUGCGCCGUAUUAGCUAGUUGGUAAGGUAACGGCUUACCAAGGCGACGAUACGUAGCCGACCUGAGAGGGUGAUCGGCCACACUGGAACUGAGACACGGUCCAGACUCCUACGGGAGGCAGCAGCC